AUUGAACGCUGGCGGCAUGCCUUACACAUGCAAGUCGAACGGCAGCACGGGUGCUUGCACCUGGUGGCGAGUGGCGAACGGGUGAGUAAUACAUCGGAACAUGUCCUGUAGUGGGGGAUAGCCCGGCGAAAGCCGGAUUAAUACCGCAUACGAUCUACGGAUGAAAGCGGGGGACCUUCGGGCCUCGCGCUAUCGGGUUGGCCGAUGGCUGAUUAGCUAGUUGGUGGGGUAAAGGCCUACCAAGGCGACGAUCAGUAGCUGGUCUGAGAGGACGACCAGCCACACUGGGACUGAGACACGGCCCAGACUCCUACGGGGGGCAGCAGUGGGGAAUUUUGGACAAUGGGCGAAAGCCUGAUCCAGCAAUGCCGCGUGUGUGAAGAAGGCCUUCGGGUUGUAAAGCACUUUUGUCCGGAAAGAAAUCCUUGGCUCUAAUACAGUCGGGGGAUGACGGUACCGGAAGAAUAAGCACCGGCUAACUACGUG
rnacentral:rRNA from 1 species